rnacentral:rRNA from 1 species
UACGUAGGGACCAAGCGUUGUUCGGAUUUACUGGGCGUAAAGGGCGCGUAGGCGGCGCAAUAAGUCACUUGUGAAAUCUCCGGGCUUAACUCGGAGCGGCCAAGUGAUACUGUUGUGCUAGAGUGCAGAAAGGGCAAUCGGAAUUCUCGGUGUAGCGGUGAAAUGCGUAGAUAUCGAGAGGAACACCUGAGGCGAAGGCGGGUUGCUAGGCUGACACUGACGCUGAGGCGCGAAAGCUAGGGUAGCAAACAGG